AUUGAACGCUGGCGGCAUGCCUUACACAUGCAAGUCGAGCGGCAGCGGGACCUUCGGGUUGCCGGCGAGCGGCGGACGGGUGAGUAAUGCCUAGGAAUCUGCCUGUUAGUGGGGGAUAACGCGGGGAAACUCGCGCUAAUACCGCAUACGUCCUACGGGAGAAAGCGGGGGCUCUUCGGACCUCGCGCUAACAGAUGAGCCUAGGUCGGAUUAGCUAGUUGGUGGGGUAAUGGCUCACCAAGGCGACGAUCCGUAACUGGUCUGAGAGGAUGAUCAGUCACACUGGAACUGAGACACGGUCCAGACUCCUACGGGAGGCAGCAGUGGGGAAUAUUGGACAAUGGGCGAAAGCCUGAUCCAGCCAUGCCGCGUGUGUGAAGAAGGUCUUCGGAUUGUAAAGCACUUUAAGUCGGGAGGAAGGGCUGUAGGUUAAUACCCUGCGGUUUUGACGUUACCGACAGAAUAAGCACCGGCUAACUUCGUGCCAGCCGCCGCGGUAAGAC
rnacentral:rRNA from 1 species